rnacentral:rRNA from 1 species
UUAAGCGACUAAGCGUACACGGUGGAUGCCCUGGCAGUCAGAGGCGAUGAAGGACGUGCUAAUCUGCGAUAAGCGUCGGUGAGGUGAUAUGAACCGUUAUAACCGGCGAUUUCCGAAUGGGGAAACCCAGUGUGAUUCGUCACACUAUCAUUAACUGAAUCCAUAGGUUAAUGAGGCGAACCGGGGGAACUGAAACAUCUAAGUACCCCGAGGAAAAGAAAUCAACCGAGAUUCCCCCAGUAGCGGCGAGCGAACGGGGAGGAGCCCAGAGCCUGAAUCAGUGUGUGUGUUAGUGGAAGCGUCUGGAAAGGCGCGCGAUACAGGGUGACAGCCCCGUACACAAAAAUGCACAUAUUGUGAGCUCGAUGAGUAGGGCGGGACACGUGGUAUCCUGUCUGAAUAUGGGGGGACCAUCCUCCAAGGCUAAAUACUCCUGACUGACCGAUAGUGAACCAGUACCGUGAGGGAAAGGCGAAAAGAACCCCGGCGAGGGGAGUGAAAAAGAACCUGAAACCGUGUACGUACAAGCAGUGGGAGCCUCUUAAUGGGGUGACUGCGUACCUUUUGUAUAAUGGGUCAGCGACUUAUAUUCUGUAGCAAGGUUAACCGAAUAGGGGAGCCGAAGGGAAACCGAGUCUUAACUGGGCGUUAAGUUGCAGGGUAUAGACCCGAAACCCGGUGAUCUAGCCAUGGGCAGGUUGAAGGUUGGGUAACACUAACUGGAGGACCGAACCGACUAAUGUUGAAAAAUUAGGGGAUGACUUGUGGCUGGGGGUGAAAGGCCAAUCAAACCGGGAGAUAGCUGGUUCUCCCCGAAAGCUAUUUAGGUAGCGCCUCGUGAAUUCAUCUCCGGGGGUAGAGCACUGUUUCGGCAAGGGGGUCAUCCCGACUUACCAACCCGAUGCAAACUGCGAAUACCGGAGAAUGUUAUCACGGGAGACACACGGCGGGUGCUAACGUCCGUCGUGAAGAGGGAAACAACCCAGACCGCCAGCUAAGGUCCCAAAGUCAUGGUUAAGUGGGAAACGAUGUGGGAAGGCCCAGACAGCCAGGAUGUUGGCUUAGAAGCAGCCAUCAUUUAAAGAAAGCGUAAUAGCUCACUGGUCGAGUCGGCCUGCGCGGAAGAUGUAACGGGGCUAAACCAUGCACCGAAGCUGCGGCAGCGACACUAUGUGUUGUUGGGUAGGGGAGCGUUCUGUAAGCCUGUGAAGGUGGCCUGUGAGGGUUGCUGGAGGUAUCAGAAGUGCGAAUGCUGACAUAAGUAACGAUAAAGCGGGUGAAAAGCCCGCUCGCCGGAAGACCAAGGGUUCCUGUCCAACGUUAAUCGGGGCAGGGUGAGUCGACCCCUAAGGCGAGGCCGAAAGGCGUAGUCGAUGGGAAACAGGUUAAUAUUCCUGUACUUGGUGUUACUGCGAAGGGGGGACGGAGAAGGCUAUGUUGGCCGGGCGACGGUUGUCCCGGUUUAAGCGUGUAGGCUGGUUUUCCAGGCAAAUCCGGAAAAUCAAGGCUGAGGCGUGAUGACGAGGCACUACGGUGCUGAAGCGACAAAUGCCCUGCUUCCAGGAAAAGCCUCUAAGCAUCAGGUAACAUCAAAUCGUACCCCAAACCGACACAGGUGGUCAGGUAGAGAAUACCAAGGCGCUUGAGAGAACUCGGGUGAAGGAACUAGGCAAAAUGGUGCCGUAACUUCGGGAGAAGGCACGCUGAUAUGUAGGUGAAGCGACUUGCUCGUGGAGCUGAAAUCAGUCGAAGAUACCAGCUGGCUGCAACUGUUUAUUAAAAACACAGCACUGUGCAAACACGAAAGUGGACGUAUACGGUGUGACGCCUGCCCGGUGCCGGAAGGUUAAUUGAUGGGGUUAGCGGUAACGCGAAGCUCUUGAUCGAAGCCCCGGUAAACGGCGGCCGUAACUAUAACGGUCCUAAGGUAGCGAAAUUCCUUGUCGGGUAAGUUCCGACCUGCACGAAUGGCGUAAUGAUGGCCAGGCUGUCUCCACCCGAGACUCAGUGAAAUUGAACUCGCUGUGAAGAUGCAGUGUACCCGCGGCAAGACGGAAAGACCCCGUGAACCUUUACUAUAGCUUGACACUGAACAUUGAGCCUUGAUGUGUAGGAUAGGUGGGAGGCUUUGAAGUGUGGACGCCAGUCUGCAUGGAGCCGACCUUGAAAUACCACCCUUUAAUGUUUGAUGUUCUAACGUGGGCCCCUAAUCGGGGUUGCGGACAGUGUCUGGUGGGUAGUUUGACUGGGGCGGUCUCCUCCUAAAGAGUAACGGAGGAGCACGAAGGUUGGCUAAUCCUGGUCGGACAUCAGGAGGUUAGUGCAAUGGCAUAAGCCAGCUUGACUGCGAGCGUGACGGCGCGAGCAGGUGCGAAAGCAGGUCAUAGUGAUCCGGUGGUUCUGAAUGGAAGGGCCAUCGCUCAACGGAUAAAAGGUACUCCGGGGAUAACAGGCUGAUACCGCCCAAGAGUUCAUAUCGACGGCGGUGUUUGGCACCUCGAUGUCGGCUCAUCACAUCCUGGGGCUGAAGUAGGUCCCAAGGGUAUGGCUGUUCGCCAUUUAAAGUGGUACGCGAGCUGGGUUUAGAACGUCGUGAGACAGUUCGGUCCCUAUCUGCCGUGGGCGCUGGAGAACUGAGGGGGGCUGCUCCUAGUACGAGAGGACCGGAGUGGACGCAUCACUGGUGUUCGGGUUGUCAUGCCAAUGGCACUGCCCGGUAGCUAAAUGCGGAAGAGAUAAGUGCUGAAAGCAUCUAAGCACGAAACUUGCCCCGAGAUGAGUUCUCCCUGACUCCUUGAGAGUCCUGAAGGAACGUUGAAGACGACGACGUUGAUAGGCCGGGUGUGUAAGCGCAGCGAUGCGUUGAGCUAACCGGUACUAAUGAACCGUGAGGCUUAACCUU